rnacentral:rRNA from 1 species
UACAGAGGGUGCGAGCGUUAAUCGGAAUUACUGGGCGUAAAGCGCGCGUAGGCGGCUUUGCAAGUCGGAUGUGAAAUCCCCAGGCUUAACCUGGGAACUGCUUCCGAGACUGCAUCGCUAGAGUAUGGGAGAGGGAAGUGGAAUUUCAGGUGUAGCGGUGAAAUGCGUAGAUAUCUGAAGGAACAUCAGUGGCGAAAGCGACUUCCUGGACCAAUACUGACGCUCAUGUGCGAAAGCGUGGGGAGCAAACAGGAUUAGAUACCCCCGUAGUCC